GCGCCUGUAACUCAGCUGGAUAGAGUGCUUCCCUCCUAAGGAAGAAGCCGGGGGUUCAAAUCCCUUCAGGCGCGCCA
rnacentral:tRNA from 1 species